rnacentral:rRNA from 1 species
GACGAACGCUGGCGGCGUGCUUAACACAUGCAAGUCGUGCGGUAAGGCCCUUUCGGGGGUACACGAGCGGCGCACGGGUGAGUAACACGUGAGCAACCUGCCCUUCACUUUGGGAUAACUGCCGGAAACGGUGGCUAAUACCGGAUAUGACUUCCUCACGCAUGUGGGGUGGUGGAAAGCCUUCGGGUGGUGGGGGAUGGGCUCGCGGUCUAUCAGCUUGUUGGUGGGGUGAUGGCCUACCAAGGCUUCGACGGGUAGCCGGCCUGAGAGGGUGACCGGCCAAACUGGGACUGAGGCACGGCACAGACUCCUACGGGAGGCAGCAGUGGGGAAUAUUGGACAAUGGGCGAAAGCCUGAUCCAGCAACGCCGCGUGAGGGAUGACGGCCUUCGGGUUGUAAACCUCUUUCGCCUGCGACGAAGCGAGAGUGACGGUAGCAGGUAAAGAAGCACCGGCCAACUACGUG